GACAGAGGGUGCAAACGUUGUUCGGAUUUACUGGGCGUAAAGCGCGUGUAGGCGGCUUGGCAAGUCGGAUGUGAAAGCCCACGGCUCAACCGUGGAAGCGCAUCCGAAACGGCUCGCUCGAGUCUCGGAGAGGAAGGUGGAAUGCUUGGUGUAGAGGUGAAAUUCGUAGAUAUCAAGCAGAACACCUGCGGCGAAGGCGGCCUUCUGGACGAUGACUGACGCUGAGACGCGAAAGCGUGGGGAGCAAACAGG
rnacentral:rRNA from 1 species